rnacentral:lncRNA from 1 species
CAAGGUUUACAUAAUGAAGAGUACAGCAGACACCAGCAGGCGUGGAAAACAAACCAGCAGGCACCAGCCUUGCUUCUCCACGCUCCUACAUGUUGCUUUCUUGUGACUACUUAUUUGUGUUCUCCUUUAGAUCUUUAAAAAUAACAAAAGCCCACCAUCUGUCAGAGCAGCAGUACCGGUUCACCUCUGAAGCAAUGAAACCUGGAAGAUUCCUCCAUUGGAGAUUUCCCCAGCUCUACCUAAGCACCAAAAGGAACUGAGGCAAUGUGGCAGAAAACAGG